rnacentral:rRNA from 1 species
GGAAGCAGCUUGCUGCUUUGCUGACGAGUGGCGGACGGGUGAGUAAUGUCUGGGAAACUGCCUGAUGGAGGGGGAUAACUACUGGAAACGGUAGCUAAUACCGCAUAACGUCGCAAGACCAAAGAGGUUGACCUUCGGGCCUCUUGCCAUCGGAUGUGCCCAGAUGGGAUUAGCUAGUAGGUGGGGUAACGGCUGACCUAGGCGACGAUCCCUAGCUGGUCUGAGAGGAUGACCAGCCACACUGGAACUGAGACACGGUCCAGACUCCUACGCGGAGGCAGCAGUGGGGAAUAUUGCACAAUGGGCGCAAGCCUGAUUGCAGCCAUGCCGCGUGUAUGAAGAAGGCCUUCGGGUUGUAAAGUACUUUCAGCGGGGAGGAAGGGAGUAAAGUUAAUACCUUUG